CUAGCUUGUCAAAUAUCUCUUGAAAAUGUGAAACUAAAUUCUCAGGCUUCGUGUCGAUAGAAUGGAUUUUAGGAGUCAUGUUGAGUAAAUAUUUUGUGUUCCCCUUAAGAAAUACUACAUAUAGCAAGUGACUGAGAAUGUCAAGUGUUACAAAUGCUACAAGGGACUGAGUACUUGAGAUUACGACGAGAAAAAAGGGUGUAGGGUCAUCCAAGGUUUUGGGCAGACGUGACUGAAUUUGUCACGGGAAUGUCUGCGUAGUUUGUCUGGAUUGAGUGUAAACGACAGAGUAUAAAGUAGAGG
rnacentral:misc_RNA from 1 species